ensembl:lncRNA
CCGGAGCCGGUACGUCCAGGAUGCAGGGCGCUCACCCCGCAGCACCACCGAGACCCCACCCACACCACUACUCCCCAGGACAGCACCGGGCCCGGACAGAAGCCCCCAGCCAGCAGACACUAAUCUCCAGUGGCGGCACACAGGCAAGUACCAAGGCCUGUGCCCGGAUGAGCCAGAGCCACCCCCCCAGAGAGACCACCCGGCCCCCAUGCCAGUCCCCCAGGCAGCGGAGGGCCCCCAGCCCCCCCAGGGGAGGGAGAGGGACGAGGACGAGCGGCCAGGCAGGAGAGGAGGGAGGAGGAGGGAAGCAGAGCAGGAAGGGACAGGGGAGCGACCGGAGGGCCGACCCACCCCAAACCCCAGGGCCAGCCAGGGCGCCCCAGAAGAGACCAGCCGCCGCCACCCCCAAGGCCCCGGGAGAGCGCACAAACCCAGCAGACCCAGGGCUCGAAGGGAGAGACACCGGGGACACCCACCCCCAGGCAGAGGGGCCCGAGCCACGCCGGCCCCGCAGAGCCAGAGAGCGACCCCAAGAGCAAUAGGAAAAGGACACCAUUAGUGCAUGCACACAGCCUUGAAGUCCAUGGUGCCAUCCUACUUAAAAAGUUACUUCAUGGGUGAUCUGAACUACUGGGAGCAGGCUUGAUUGAACACAGUCUGACUGCUGCAGGAAGGAAGGACCUCCUUCAAACAUCGUGGGUGAAGCAGUCUGUCCCUGAAGGAGCUGCCGGUGAUGGUCCUGUUUCCUGCAGGGGGUGGGAGAUGUCCUCCAUGAUAGACAACAGCUUUGUCAUCAUCCUCCUGUCUACCACCAGCCCAGGACAGAGCUUGCUUUCUUAACCAGUUUCUUUAGUCUCUUCCUGUCUGCAGCCGUGAUGCUGCUGCUCCAGCAGACCAGUCCAUACAGGAUGGCUGAUACCACCACACAACCAUAAAAGGUCCUCAGAAUUGCUCCCUGCACCCCGAAGGACCUCAGUUUCCUGAGCAGGUGAAGUCUGUUCUGACCUUUCUUAUACCGUGCAUUGGUGUUCUAUCUCUAGACAUGUUUGAAUGUCUUUAUCAAUAAAUGCUCAAACACAUGUUGAGUGUCAGCUCAGCUCUUUGUUCCAUACAUGUAAAUGUUCCUAUGUGAUUGGUGUCGUGCAGUCGGAGUGUAAAGAAUUGAAGCUGUCAGAGGCUUUCUGUGGUGAAGAGGCUGCAGGACAUCAGCUGCUCCAACAGUUAACUCACCCGGUUACGUCUCCAUCCUGACGCUGCUCUGCUGGACCGGAGCUUCUGGACCAGCCGGGUGGACCUUCCUUCACAGAUCUUCCCGGUGGGAGUGAUUCUGAGUCGGCCUUGGUUGACUGCAAACUCCUUAAAAUGGACACAUGAGAGGAAAUCGUGGACAAAUCAAUACAACAGCUUGUUCGGUUUGUCCUGUUCUU